rnacentral:tRNA from 2 species
GCCGGAAUAGCUCAGCAGGUAGAGCAACUGACUUGUAAUCAGUAGGUCUCGGGUUCAAUUCCUGAUUCCGGCACCA